GCCGUGGAAGCCCCCUCUCAAUAUUUGUGGUUUAUGUCGCUUCUGAGAGUCAGGAAUCUAGGACUGGCUUAUUUGGGGGCUUCUGGCUCAGGAUCUCCCGUGAGGUUGCAAUCAAGAUGUUGGCCAGGACUGCAAUCAUCUGAAGGAGAAGUGAAUCCUAACACCGGGAGACUUCGGCGGAUGAGAAGAGAAGGCACCAAAAGCAAAGGUCCAGAGGACACACCCUAAUCCCUACUGAGGACCUUCCAGGAAUCUAUGAAUUCAGUGGUCCUGCCACAUCAGGGACCCGAUCUCCCAGGAGAAGAAAGGGGCUCCAAGUGGUAUUAUCUGCAAUCAUAACCCAGAGGAAUUAGCUGCUCUUCCCAAAGACACUUGAUGGCAUAAACCAGAACUCCCAUUUCUAGUCCAG